rnacentral:rRNA from 1 species
CCUACGUGAGGCAGCAGUGAGGAAUAUUGGUCAAUGGGCGCGAGCCUGAACCAGCCAAGUAGCGUGAAGGAUGACUGCCCUACGGGUUGUAAACUUCUUUUAUAAAGGAAUAAAGUGAGGCACGUGUGCCUUUUUGUAUGUACUUUAUGAAUAAGGAUCGGCUAACUCCGUGCCAGCAGCCGCGGUAAUCAGGAGGAACCGAGCGUUAUCCGGAUUUAUUGGGUUUAAAGGGAGCGUAGAUGGGUUGUUAAGUCAGUUGUGAAAGUUUGCGGCUCAACCGUAAAAUUGCAAUUGAUACUGGCAGUCUUGAGUACAGUUGAGGUAGGCGGAAUUCGUGGUGUAGCGGUGAAAUGCUUAGAUAUCACGAAGAACUCCGAUUGCGAAGGCAGCUUACUAAACUGCCACUGACAUUGAUGCUCGAAAGUGUGGGUAUCAAACAGGAUUAGAUACCCGUGUAGUC